UACAGGGGGUGCAAACGUUGCUCGGAAUCAUUGGGCGUAAAGCGCACGUAGGCGGUCUGUUAUGUCGGAUGUGAAAGCCCUCGGCUCAACUGAGGAAGUGCAUCCGAAACUAGCAGGCUAGAGUACCAAAGAGGGUCGCGGAAUUCCCGGUGUAGAGGUGAAAUUCGUAGAUAUCGGGAGGAACACCGGUGGCGAAGGCGGCGACCUGGGUGGAUACUGACGCUGAGGUGCGAAAGCGUGGGGAGCAAACAGG
rnacentral:rRNA from 1 species